rnacentral:lncRNA from 1 species
AUAAUAUUUGAAAUAUUAAUGAAGAAAAUAUCUAAUAAAAAGUAUUAAAAAAAGAAUCUGUGUGACACCAAUCUUGUCUGUGUCUUGAUUUCUUACUAGUUUCACAUUUUUCACACCCCACUCCAAAAACCAAUAGCACUUAUGUAAGAAAGUUUUUUUUUAAUUUAAUUUUUUUUUUUAGCAAUAAAUGGGACAUCUUGGGGAAGUGAGCUAGGUGGAGAAUUGGGUGCUAAAAUUGUCAAAAGGUGACAAAAGUUGAAGAAAUUACUGAAGUGAAGUUCUACAGGCUAUGGUAGGGUAAAGCCCUGACAUGUUUACAGCUUCACAGUGCUUUCUUCCCAAAAAAUAGUUUUCCUGGAGAAAGAGUUUCCAAGUGCAUCUUUGCUUUCUCUGGCAAAUCCCUGUCAUUUGAAGGUGAGUGUGGAUGAAAGUAGAGAAUCCUCUGUUCCUCAGAGUGAUGGAAGCUCACAGAAAGAGACAGACCAGGGUCAUCCUAAGAGAAAAUCAAAUACUUUACCCUCAAGGGUGAUGGCAGAGUGGAAGAAGAGGUAGCCAGUCAUUGGUGGAAAAGAAUAGUGGCCUUGUCUGCCCAGAGCUUGCAGACCUGUUCUCACUGGGUCUUUCUUCUCAGCUGCUUAGAUAGGGAUUUGGUUCCAGUCCAAAACAGGGCUGGAUAAAGCAGGCAUUUCCCAGGGGACCUCUGGUAAUACCAGGCCCAAUGAAGUCAGCAUAACUUGAUUCUGUAACUUGGCCAAGGAGGACCCUGGGCCAAGAAUCACCACGGCCAACCCAGGUAUGGAAAGCUUUGCAUCACUGAUGUCUAUAAGCAUCCUGAAGAAAAGACCAUCUCUAACUGCUUUCUCAUAGCUCCCUAGGACAUCUAUAUGUAAAGCAGAGAUUUGUACCAACUAGGCUUCUUUGUCAAAUAUCAGCUUGAAUAUUUCAUGCAUUAGAGAAUUGGGGUUAAUGCGCAAAAAAAUGAUUCUUAUGAAAUAAAACUAUUGAAAUAUGCCUCUGAAUGCAUUUCAGAACCAUGUCUCCCAGGCUUCCUGGAGUCGCCUGGAAGGAAAAGGUUUGCUCUGAUCAUAUGCAAAUUAUGGAAGGAAAAAUAUGCCUACACUGUUAAAAACUUAUCAUAGUUUUUCUUUCCUUUGACCCAGAAACUCCUUCUCUUUUAGUCUCUUAAACAUCUAUUAGUACCCAGUUUAUGAAAGUGGCUUUGCUGUCUUCCAAUUCUGCUGUGUCUCUGGGGAAAACUUUCUGGCAAGCCCAUGGGGUCUGAGAAGCAUGCUUCUCCCAGCUGGUCCAGAAAGCCGGAAACCUGGAAGGCCAGCCCCAGACUGUCUGGCAAAGCUGUAAGGGAAGGAGAAGCUUAACUCCUGACUGGCUGGACCCAGGAAGCUGGGGUAUUCCUUUCUCUUUGCUCAUGAAGCAGAAUAAAAGGUCAGAGAUUCUGGCUUAGCUCCUGUCAGCUUGUCAUUUUGCUGAUGUUCUCCUAGAGUGCGCUGUAUGCAGAACAGGCUGGGGGCUUCUUGGGACAAGCUCAAGGUGAGUCAGAGACAGACAGAACUUCCUGGUUACCACUGCACUUACAAUCCCUUAGCCAGAACCUCUCCUCUUUAAAUUCAGAGAAGUCAUUAAAUGACCUAUUAAUUAAAGAGUGCUGUGGAAAACAAAUUGCAAAACAUGUUCAUUUCUAAACAAUGCAAACUUUUUUGCACAAGAACCAGAUGCCACUGAUUCUUAAACUUUGCCCAUGCAUACAUUUGUACAUACAUACAUACAUAUAUACACAUACAUACAUACAUACAUACAUACAUACAAAAAAAGUUACAUGACUACAAAAGUCACCUUAAAAUCUGAAUCUUCAGUAGGUGAGAUCCCUUGAUGUACAAGCCUGAAGACCUCAGCUUGAGCCUCCAGCACCCAUGAAACAAGUUGAGCACAACUGUACAGACUGUAACCUCAGUUUUGGGGGCGGGGGAUAGAGGUGAGCAGAUCCUGAGAGCUUGCAAGUCAACCAGCCUAGCCCCAGAUGACUAGCUUCUGCUUCAGGGAGAGACCCUAUCUCAAGGCAAAGGGCAGGAGCAAUAGAAAAAGUUACCUCAUAUCCUCUUGUAGCAUCCAUUUGAGCAUGCAUGCACAACAUGCACACACACAAAAACAAAUGAAUUCCUCUUAGGAAUAUGCAGCUUCUCUGUAGUAGGUCCCAGCUUUAUUAAAGCAUUUAAUACAUGUGCCUACUGCUACAUGC